rnacentral:rRNA from 1 species
GACGAACGCUGGCGGCGUGCUUAACACAUGCGAGUCGAACGGAAAGGCCCUGCUUUUGUGGGGUGCUCGAGUGGCGAACGGGUGAGUAACACGUGAGUAACCUGCCCUUGACUUUGGGAUAACUUCAGGAAACUGGGGCUAAUACCGGAUAGGAUCUCCUGCUGCAUGGUGGGGGUUGGAAAGUUUCGGCGGUUGGGGAUGGACUCGCGGCUUAUCAGCUUGUUGGUGGGGUAGUGGCUUACCAAGGCUUUGACGGGUAGCCGGCCUGAGAGGGUGACCGGCCACAUUGGGACUGAGAUACGGAGCAGACUCCUACGGGAGGCAGCAGUGGGGAAUAUUGCACAAUGGGCGGAAGCCUGAUGCAGCAACGCCGCGUGCGGGAUGACGGCCUUCGGGUUGUAAACCGCUUUCGCCUGUGACGAAGCGUGAGUGACGGUAAUGGGUAAAGAAGCACCGGCUAACUACGUG